AAGGCUUCAGUACGACCCAGUCAGAACUAUAAGUCUCAAAGCCCCGACGAGUAGGGUGGCGUGCCGGUGAGCGUUGAAGGCCAAGACGUGAGUCAGGCUGGAGCCGCCGGUAGUGCAGAUCUUGGUGGUAGUAGCAAGUACUCUGGUGAACCAACCUGGAGCUGUGAGGUCUGGAUUAGGGUUCCAUGUCAACAGUGAUUGAACAUGGGUGAGUCGAUCCUAAGCCAACUGUGAAAGCAGUGACAUCCCGACAAAGGUGCAUUAAGGGGGUGUGCCCGGCGCACACCAUUCGCCUCCUCUCGAUAUAUGUAUGGGACGGGUUCGAAGGAAUUGACACUCGCGUUACGCUCAAACAAACACUUUGGCGUUGACACAAAAGACGAGUGGUGGCCGCAAAUGAAAGAGAGGCGGUUUGGGCGGAUGGAAGCGUUUGAGAUGCGCGCACUAAAUGCUCCCUGCGUUGGUUCUAUGUCUGGCGAAAGGGAAUGGGGACUUUGUUCCUUGACCGGUCCCGGCACCCUCGAUAGGCUUUAGCCACUCAAUGGUCCAUGCAAAUGGAACCAGGCCACAGCCGCCGGCAGUCGCCCGAGGAAGAGUUUUCUUUUCUGCUUAACGCACGAGAUCAUCCCUGGAAACAGUUCGGCUGGCGAAAGGGUGCCCCGUUGCGGCAGAGCGCCACGACUGUCGUGCGCGUCUCGGUGUUCCUGCCGGUCCGUGAAGACGUGGUCGAGGGGAUUGCACACUUGUAUCAACGAAACGCCCGACAAGUUCGGGACGGACCGUACCCUAUAUCCGCAUCUGGUCUCCAAGGUUCGUAGCCUCUGCAGAGUCAGACACAUGUAGGUAAGGGAAGUCGGCAAACUCGAUCCGUAACUUCGGGAAAAGGAUUGGCUCUGAGGGCCGAGCUGGGCCGGGCCUUGCCUGCAAAGCAGUACCUAUAGUGACCGGAGUUUUAGGAGUGCGAGGGGCUCUAGUAGCUGCCUGCGUUUACGCGUGGGCACGAACGAGUCUACCGCUCCGCUCCAACCACGAACGGCUGUGACGGCAAGGGCUCUGGGCGGGAGCGUUCAAACCGUUGGCCCCCAGCUCGUCUGGGUGGCGGCGGUGCUUCGUCUGACCCAUACGGCUCCAGCGGCUAGCGGCUAACUCAGAACUGUCAUGGACCAAGGGAAUCCGACUGUCUAAUUAAAACAAAGCGUCGUGACGGCCCCUGUUGGGUGUUGACGCGACGUGAUUUC
rnacentral:rRNA from 1 species